rnacentral:rRNA from 1 species
CCUACGGGUGGCAGCAGUGAGGAAUAUUGGUCAAUGGCCGAGAGGCUGAACCAGCCAAGUCGCGUGAGGGAAAACGGCCCUACGGGUUGUAAACCUCUUUUGCCGGGGAGCAAAGCGCACCACGUGUGGUUCAUUGAGAGUACCCGAAGAAAAAGCAUCGGCUAACUCCGUGCCAGCAGCCGCGGUAAUCCGGAGGAUGUGAGCGUUAUCCGGAUUUAUUGGGUUUAAAGGGUGCGCAGGCGGAGGUGCAAGUCAGCGGUCAAAUUGCGGGGCUCAACCCCGUACUGCCGUUGAAACUGCAUCCCGUGAGUGCGGGAGAGGUGUGCGGAAUGCGUGGUGUAGCGGUGAAAUGCAUAGAUAUCACGCAGAACUCCGAUUGCGAAGGCAGCAUACCGGAGCGCAACUGACGCUCAUGCACGAAAGCGUGGGUAUCGAACAGGAUUAGAUACCCUUAUAGUC